rnacentral:rRNA from 1 species
CCUACGGGAGGCAGCAGUGAGGAAUAUUGGUCAAUGGACGCAAGUCUGAACCAGCCAUGCCGCGUGCAGGAAGACGGCUCUAUGGUUUGUAAACUGCUUUUAUACGGGGGUAAACGCAUAUACGCGUAUCUGUCUGAAAGUAUCCUACGAAUAAGGAUCGGCUAACUCCGUGCCAGCAGCCGCGGUAAUACGGAGGAUUCAAGCGUUAUCCGGAUUUAUUGGGUUUAAAGGGUGCGUAGGUGGUCGUAUAAGUUAGAGGUGAAAUCCUGAGGCUCAACUUCGGAAUUGCCGCUGAUACUGUUAGGCUAGAGAGUAGUUGCGGUAGGCGGAAUGUAUGGUGUAGCGGUGAAAUGCUUAGAGAUCAUGCAGAACACCGAUUGCGAAGGCAGCUUACCAAGCUACUUCUGACGUUGAGGCACGAAAGCGUGGGGAGCAAACAGGAUUAGAUACCCGGGUAGUC